UACGAAGGGGGCUAGCGUUGCUCGGAAUUACUGGGCGUAAAGCGUGCGCAGGCGGUUCGUUGUGUCGGCGGUGAAAGCCCCGGGCUUAACCUGGGAAUGGCCGUCGAAACUGGCGAACUGGAGUGUGGCAGAGGGGGGUGGAAUUCCGCGUGUAGCAGUGAAAUGCGUAGAGAUGCGGAGGAACACCGAUGGCGAAGGCAGCCCCCUGGGCUGACACUGACGCUCAGGCACGAAAGCGUGGGGAGCAAACAGG
rnacentral:rRNA from 1 species